CGCCUUGCCAGCCCGCUCAGAAACUUAAAGGAAUUGACGGGGGCCCGCACAAGCGGAGGAGCAUGUGGUUAAUUCGAUGAUACGCGAGGAACCUUACCUGGGCUCGAACGUAAGAUGACUGUAGGUGAAAGCUUACAUCUCUUCGGAGCAUUUUACGAGGUGCUGCAUGGUUGUCGUCAGCUCGUGCCGUGAGGUGUCGGGUUAAGUCCCAUAACGAGCGCAACCCCUACCUUUAGUUGCCAUCAGGUUAAGCUGGGGACUCUAAAGGAACUGCCUACGCAAGUAGUGAGGAAGGCGGGGAUGACGUCAAAUCAGCACGGCCCUUACGUCCAGGGCUACACACGUGCUACAAUGGCCGAUACAGAGGGCAGCUACCUGGUGACAGGAUGCAAAUCUCCAAAGUCGGUCUCAGUUCGGAUCGGAGUCUGCAACCCGACUCCGUGAAGUUGGAUUCGCUAGUAAUCGCGCAUCAGCCAUGGCGCGGUGAAUACGUUCCCGGGCCUU
rnacentral:rRNA from 1 species